rnacentral:lncRNA from 10 species
AUGAAUUUGCUCAAGGUCACAAAGCGGAAGGGGGUAGAGCAGAGACCGAAAAUCGGCAGACUCCCAACUCGGAAGCUUUUCGACCAGGUAGUUCCGGUGGCAGCCAAGUCGGCCAGGAGAGGCGGGCGUAGGACUACAUUUCCCAGGACGCAGCGGGUCUACGCCGUCGCCGUCGUCGGAGAGCGGAGACGCUGGGCGCGCUGUGGGGCGGGGGCGAGGUUCGGGCUGGUUGUGCCGUUGCGAGCUGCAGCUGCGAUCGCUGUGGUAGGCCCAGAUGACCCUGACUUUUUUCGUUUGUGGAAGUACUGAUGUAGUCUGUCCUGUUAUUCUAGACAGCCUGAC